GACGUAGGGGGCAAGCGUUGUUCGGAAUUAUUGGGCGUAAAGCGCUCGUAGGCGGGACUGGAAGUCCGUGUUGAAAGACCUCGGCUCAACUGAGGGACCGGCUCGGAUACUCUAGUUCUUGAGGCAAUCAGAGGGUGAUGGAAUUCCCGGUGUAGCGGUGAAAUGCGUAGAUAUCAGGAGGAACACCUGUGGCGAAAGCGGCGCACUGGACCACAACUGACGCUGAGGCGCGAAAGCUAGGGGAGCAAACAGG
rnacentral:rRNA from 1 species